AAGCAGAUGCAUCGCUAACUCCUCCAAACGUGGCCAUAUCUUGUUAAUUGAAUACGCUUGUAGAAUUCCUUCGUUCACUGUACUCUGCGUUUGUAGCAAUGACAGCGGCAGGUAACCUAGGUAUCAGUCCGCCGCUGCCGUAGCCUACGUACAGGAAUAUAAACACUGCUGCUGAGACCCCGCAAUUCCCUCAAAAUGAAAUGCAGUGCAAGAGUCACACAGACCUCCAGCUCCAUCAUCGAUAACUUCAUUACCAACAUUCGGAACACCAGAAAGAAAAUCAAUAUUGAACUGGUACAUAUCAAUAUCGACAAUCAGGAGAUCAUAAGGCACCAACACCGAACCAGGAACAAACACCUGAUAACGGUUAAACAACGGCGUUUACAUUGUACGGGUAUGAGUGUUGCCUGCAAGGGGCCACAGAUCUGGAACAGACUUGAUGAGGAUCUAAAGAAGCUGUGCUGUGUGUCCGCUUUUAAAAAAAAACCUAAAAGCAUAUUUACUGGCUACCUAUUUAUAAUGUACCCUAACAAUAUGAUGGAUGUACUGG
ensembl:lncRNA